rnacentral:rRNA from 1 species
AGAGAUGAGAAUGUGCCUUCGGGAACCGUGAGACAGGUGCUGCAUGGCUGUCGUCAGCUCGUGUUGUGAAAUGUUGGGUUAAGUCCCGCAACGAGCGCAACCCUUAUCCUUUGUUGCCAGCGGUCCGGCCGGGAACUCAAAGGAGACUGCCAGUGAUAAACUGGAGGAAGGUGGGGAUGACGUCAAGUCAUCAUGGCCCUUACGACCAGGGCUACACACGUGCUACAAUGGCGCAUACAAAGAGAAGCGACCUCGCGAGAGCAAGCGGACCUCAUAAAGUGCGUCGUAGUCCGGAUUGGAGUCUGCAACUCGACUCCAUGAAGUCGGAAUCGCUAGUAAUCGUGGAUCAGAAUGCCACGGUGAAUACGUUCCCGGGCCUUGUACACACCGCCCGUCACACCAUGGGAGUGGGUUGCAAAAGAAGUAGGUAGCUUAACCUUCGGGAGGGCGCUUACCACUUUGUGAUUCAUGACUGGGGUGAAGUCGUAACAAGGUAACCGUAGGGGAACCUGCGGUUGGAUCACCUC